rnacentral:rRNA from 1 species
UACGGGGGGGGCAAGCGUUGUUCGGAAUUACUGGGCGUAAAGGGCUCGUAGGCGGCCAACUAAGUCAGACGUGAAAUCCCCAGGCUCAACCUGGGAACUGCGUCUGAUACUGGAUGGCUUGAAUUCGGGAGAGGGAUGCAGAAUUCCAGGUGUAGCGGUGAAAUGCGUAGAUAUCUGGAGGAAUACCGGUGGCGAAGGCGGCAUCCUGGACCGACAUUGACGCUGA